UGAAGAGCUACAGGAAAUCAAUGGCUGCUGAGAGAGGGAGAAUCAGUCUUCUCCAGGGACAAGUCCCCUGCUAGGCUAUCCAAUGCCAAGUGGUUAUCUCCAAAUACAUGUAAAUACGAGCAAAAUUAAAUGGGCUCAGUAGUUGUAUAUGUGCAUAUAGAUGUGUACGUAUUUAUGGAUGCAUUGUAACAAUAAUAAUUACAGAAGAAUGUUAUGAACUUGAGAGCUUGACUGUACAUCUUCUGGUACUAUGAGAGACAGACCUCAAAGAAGUUCCCAGGGAACUUGGUGAUUAUUUGUACUUUUUUUUUUAACCAAUCACUAUACAUAUCCAAAAAAAACAAGGAACCUGAGAUUCACGAUAGUGGGAGAUUUACCAUGAAAUUACUAUAAGAUAACAGCAGAACUAAAAAUGUUUCUGAAUGCUCAAGCUUUGCUGCACAGUUUUAACUGUGAUUUUAAAAAGCAAAAAGAAUUCACUACCAAAAAGCAACUGAUUUAUCCAAAGGGAAUAAUGAGAAGAAGAAUGCUAUACAUGUUCAGUACAGAGAUGGUGUGAAGAACCUGAGACAAAAAGGAGGAAAUGUUGGGGAAUAUUAUUUUGAGG